rnacentral:tRNA from 1 species
CGCGUUUUCGGUGCGGCGUGGAUUGUCGCUGCGGCGGUUGUGGCCCUUCGUGGCGGGCGGAUUGGUUGGAAUUCCAAUUGGCGCGGC